UUCUGUCUUUUGGCAUAUGUUUAAUGAAAAUUUUGUUUAUUUCUUUCCAAUCUUUACUUUAUUUGUCUUUUUGAUUGAUGACAAAGGGGGAGAAACACAUCUAAGGGGAAGAAUAUUUAUUUGAUUUUGACAUACCUAAAUUCAUAACUAAGAACCCAAAUAUUGUUUAAUGUUUUUGCUAACAACUACUUUGAAGAAUAGUUUUUUAACUGUUUUGC
rnacentral:lncRNA from 1 species